rnacentral:rRNA from 1 species
AAUGAACGCUGGCGGCGCGCCUAAUACAUGCAAGUCGAGCGAGAAGACGUAGCAAUACGUUUGUAAAGCGGCGAACGGGUGAGGAAUACAUGGGGUAACCUACCCUCGAGUGGGGAAUAACUAGCCGAAAGGUUAGCUAAUACCGCGUACGCUUCUUGGACUUCGGUUCAGGGAGGAAAGCGAUGCCGAGGGUAUCGCGCUCUUGGAUGGGCUCAUGUCCUAUCAGCUUGUUGGGAGGUAACGGCUCACCAAGGCUUCGACGGGUAGCUGGUCUGAGAGGACGAUCAGCCACACUGGCACUGCGACACGGGCCAGACUCCUACGGGAGGCAGCAGUAAGGAAUAUUGCGCAAUGGGCGAAAGCCUGAC